UACUUGCUUCGGCGGUACUAUACUAAAAUUGGAACGAUACAGAGAAGAUUAGCAUGGGCUAUGCCCAAGGAUGACACGCAUAAUCGUGAAGCGUUCCCUUAUUUG